AUUUGAAAAAGGCAAACCUAUCGAAAGGUUGGGACGCAAAGUCACAGAUCUAAGGGACACUAUGAUGGCUGGGCUACCAAA
rnacentral:ncRNA from 1 species